GCAUACCUUUUUGCAGAGUCACAAUUUAGUUGUCCCAGUGUUAAGGAAACCCUUUAUUCUUAUGCCAGGUUUGCUUCAGUGUUUGGAAUUUCUGCAGCCACCAAUUCCCGUCUGUACUUGGAAUUGGGGGGGGGCGUUGCUUCAGCUCUCCUGUUGGUGUCAGCUGGGUUACUGGGUUCAUUCGCCCACUCUCAAUCAAGUAUGGGAAAAGCCUAGGAAAAUGGAAAAAUUGGAAAAAUUGGUUUAUUUACAAUUUGUCCAAAUUAGGGAGCCCAGCUCCUCCCACCCACCUCCACCCCAUCCCCCAACGCACAGACCCGCUCCACGUUAUAGAAGGGGUAAAACGAAAGCCAGGAAAGGUAUGUUUGUAGACGUACCCAAGCUUUGGCCCAGAGGGCUGGAAGUACAGAAUCCUCUGGUUUGUCAGGUCUGGAGAUUCCCAGCCUCAAGGAAGCAACAUUAGGAGGUGCACAACUUCCCUAAACUUCAGACGCAUGCAACUAUUUCACCUUCUAACGUAGCCCACCAAUCGGGUUUCCUGCACCUCCUAGAUGGACCAUCUCCAGCAUGCUCCAAAACCACAUGAAAACCCCCAACUCCUGACAAUGUGACUCUCUGGAGGGCUUGUACCCUAUUUCCUCUGAGUGUGUACUUCUUUGGCUCUGCCUAAUAAAGCCUUCUAAGGACUCUCAUCCUAGAAUUCUUUCCUGUGGCACAAGUCAGCAAACCUACAGCUUUGCUGACUCUGGUGAGACCCCUUAAACCGUCUGGUGAAAAGGACAGAUCCCAUGUUGAAGGGGAAAUGACAGGCAAGUCGUGUGAGUGUCUAAAAAAACCCCUCUUUUUAGCUAUUUGAGCAAUAACAGAUUUAGAAACUGGUUCUUAGGGUAAAUUUAUCUCGAGUCCAUUGCCAAGUUCAUUCUCAUCUAAUGAAGAGAAAACAGUGGGGGCCCUAAUCAUUCCAACUUUGACAGUCAAAAGUUACAAAGUUUAUAAGGAAGCAGAAAAAGGAAGGAGAGCAAAGCACAGGGGCCUGUACUAAGAAACAUAGUAACCAAGUUAGUCAAAGAAAACCAACUUGUCCCAGCUAAACAAGUUUAGCUUUGUCAGAAAAGUGCACUAAGUAUAUAUUUAGAGUCACCUUUCUCCUGCAAACCAAUGAAUUGCCAGUUUGGUGAGAAAUCAUAUUAUUUAAUUAUGCCAAAACCUAGAAUUAUAGUUUAGUAAUUACACAGCAGUGUAUAAUUUCUUAGGUACACAGAACUGCAAAAAAAAGUUAAACACAGAGUGCAAGAAUUAAUGCCCAUUUACCAAUUAAAAACAUAUGUUUUUGUAAUAGACAUUCCUGGUUUAAUGAACUGUUUAACAAUUUAUUAUGUUCUGUUACACAUUAC
rnacentral:lncRNA from 1 species